GCCAGCAGCCGCGGUAAUUCCAGCUCCAAUAGCGUAUAUUAAAGUUGUUGUGGUUAAAAAGCUCGUAGUUGGAUCUCAACAGCCUUGAAGCGGUUAACUUUGUAGUUUUACUGCUUUAUAGGCUGUGCUUUUGCUGGAGGUUUAGGGGUGCUCUUGAUCCAGUGUCUCUGGAUGCCAGCAGGUUUACUUUGAAAAAAUUAGAGUGCUCAAAGCAGGCUAAAAUGCCUGAAUAUUCGUGCAUGGAAUAAUAGAAUAGGAUGUCGAUCCUAUUUUGUUGGUUUUCGGGACUCGACAUAAUGAUUAACAGGGACAAUUGGGGGCAUUAGUAUUCAGACGACAGAGGUGAAAUUCUUGGACCGUCUGAAGACUGACUACUGCGAAAGCAUUUGCCAAGAGUGUUUUCAUUAAUCAAGAACGAAAGUUAGAGGUUCGAAGGCGAUCAGAUACCGCCCUAGUUCUAACCAUAAACGAUGCCAGCUAGCGAUCUGCCGAGUUUUUUUUGUAGGCUCCGCAGGAAGCUUUCGGGAAACCAAAGCUUUUGGGUUCCGGGGGAAGUAUGGUUGCAAAGCUGAAACUUAAAGGAAUUGACGGAAGGGCACCACCAGGAGUGGAGCCUGUGGCUUAAUUUGACUCAACACGGGAAAUCUCACCAGGCCCGGACACCGGAAGGAUUGACAGAUUGAUAGCUCUUUCUUGAUUCGGUGGGUGGUGGUGCAUGGCCGUUCUUAGUUGGUGGAGUGAUUUGUCUGGUUAAUUCCGAUAACGAACGAGACUCUGUCCUGCUAAAUAGUUUCUACUUCUCUUUUGAGUAGAAAUUUCUUCUUAGAGGGACUGGUGACUCUUAGUCACACGAGAUUGAGCAAUAACAGGUCUGUGAUGC
rnacentral:rRNA from 1 species